rnacentral:rRNA from 1 species
AUGGUACCUUUGCAAAGGACGCCGGGUUGUUGGGUGGAGGAAUUACCCUCAGUGUUAUGGAGUAUCAAUACUACCCCCAAUAGAUCUACGGGUUACAUGCCUUUCUUUCUGGUUUACGGAGCAGAGGAGGUUCUCCCUAGUGACAUCUGUCGUGAUUUGCCCCCUGUGCCAGCUUAUGUUGAAGCUGAUAAUGAAAAAGCACGUCAGGAUGCUCUUGACCUGUUGGAUGAGGAGCGCGACCGUGCGGCAGCUCGUUCGGCGAUUUACCAACAAGAUAUGCGUCGUUAUCACAAUCGUCGGCUUAAAACCAGGACCUUUCAAGAAGGAGAUUUGGUGCUCCGGCUCAUCCCGGAUCAAACUGACAUGCACAAGCUAUCCCUACCUUGGGAAGGGCCCUUUGUGGUCAGCAAAAAUCUGAACAACGGGUCAUACUACCUUAUCGAUGUUCAAGACCACAAGGACUCAUGCACGUCGAAGGAGGAGACCCGCCGGCCAUGGAAUAAUGCUCAUCUUCAGCCUUAUUACACCUGA